CUACGCACUCCUACGGGAGGCAGCAGUGGGGAAUAUUGCACAAUGGGCGCAAGCCUGAUGCAGCCAUGCCGCGUGUAUGAAGAAGGCCUUCGGGUUGUAAAGUACUUUCAGCAGUGAGGAAGGUGGAUAUGUUAAUAGCAUAUUCAUUUGACGUUAGCUGCAGAAGAAGCACCGGCUAACUCCGUGCCAGCAGCCGCGGUAAUACGGAGGGUGCGAGCGUUAAUCGGAAUUACUGGGCGUAAAGCGCAUGCAGGUGGUUUGUUAAGUCAGAUGUGAAAGCCCGGGGCUCAACCUCGGAAUUGCAUUUGAAACUGGCAAACUAGAGUACUGUAGAGGGGGUAGAAUUUCAGGUGUAGCGGUGAAAUGCGUAGAGAUCUGAAGGAAUACCGGUGGCGAAGGCGGCCCCCUGGACAGAUACUGACACUCAGAUGCGAAAGCGUGGGGAGCAAACAGGAUUAGAUACCCUGGGAG
rnacentral:rRNA from 1 species